rnacentral:rRNA from 1 species
AUGAACGCUAGCUACAGGCUUAACACAUGCAAGUCGAGGGGCAGCAUGGUCUUAGCUUGCUAAGACUGAUGGCGACCGGCGCACGGGUGAGUAACACGUAUCCAACCUGCCGUCUACUCUUGGACAGCCUUCUGAAAGGAAGAUUAAUACAAGAUGGCAUCAUGAGUCCGCAUGUUCACAUGAUUAAAGGUAUUCCGGUAGACGAUGGGGAUGCGUUCCAUUAGAUAGUAGGCGGGGUAACGGCCCACCUAGUCUUCGAUGGAUAGGGGUUCUGAGAGGAAGGUCCCCCACAUUGGAACUGAGACACGGUCCAAACUCCUACGGGAGGCAGCAGUGAGGAAUAUUGGUCAAUGGGCGAGAGCCUGAACCAGCCAAGUAGCGUGAAGGAUGACUGCCCUAUGGGUUGUAAACUUCUUUUAUAAAGGAAUAAAGUCGGGUAUGUAUACCCGUUUGCAUGUACUUUAUGAAUAAGGAUCGGCUAACUCCGUGCCAGCAGCCGCGGUAAUACGGAGGAUCCGAGCGUUAUCCGGAUUUAUUGGGUUUAAAGGGAGCGUAGAUGGAUGUUUAAGUCAGUUGUGAAAGUUUGCGGCUCAACCGUAAAAUUGCAGUUGAUACUGGAUAUCUUGAGUGCAGUUGAGGCAGGCGGAAUUCGUGGUGUAGCGGUGAAAUGCUUAGAUAUCACGAAGAACUCCGAUUGCGAAGGCAGCCUGCUAAGCUGCAACUGACGUUGAGGCUCGAAAGUGUGGGUAUCAAACAGGAUUAGAUACCCUGGUAGUCCACACGGUAAACGAGGAAUACUCGCUGUUUGCGAUAUACGGCAAGCGGCCAAGCGAAAGCGUUAAGUAUUCCACCUGGGGAGUACGCCGGCAACGGUGAAACUCAAAGGAAUUGACGGGGGCCCGCACAAGCGGUGGAGCAUGUGGUUUAAUUCGAUGCAACGCGAAGAACCUUACCAAGUCUUGACAUCCUGCGACGCACAUAGAAAUAUGUGUUUCCUUCGGGACGCAGAGACAGGUGGUGCAUGGUUGUCGUCAGCUCGUGUCGUGAGAUGUUGGGUUAAGUCCCGCAACGAGCGCAACCCCUAUCUUUAGUAGCCAGCGGUUCGGCCGGGCACUCUGAGGAGACUGCCAGGGAUAACCUGGAGGAAGGCGGGGAUGACGUCAAAUCAUCAUGCCCCUUAUGGCCUGGGCUACACACGUGCUACAAUGGCGCAUACAAAGAGAAGCGACCUCGCGAGAGCAAGCGGACCUCAUAAAGUGCGUCGUAGUCCGGAUUGGAGUCUGCAACUCGACUCCAUGAAGUCGGAAUCGCUAGUAAUCGUGGAUCAGAAUGCCACGGUGAAUACGUUCCCGGGCCUUGUACACACCGCCCGUCACACCAUGGGAGUUGGAAAUGCCCGAAGUCAGUGACCCAACCGCAAGGAGGGAGCUGCCGAAGGCGGGACCGAUAACUGGGGUG